rnacentral:rRNA from 1 species
CCUACGGGAGGCUGCCUGGUUGUAACCAACGCCAGACCCGCAGAACACAACGCGCAUUCCGGAUUUAAUCUUGCCUUCCUGGAUGGCAUCGUGGAAAGCUAUCGGGAGGCAGGCCGAACCCAUGUAGCCCCACUUGUCCAUGACAUGGUGGGCUUUUUCAACGGGCAGACCGAGGUUAUCCAUCACGAGCUUGAUGCUGUUAAUGUUCACCUGGGUGAAGAUGAUAUGGUCGAUUUCCUGCAGGUCAAAGCCACCAUUGGCGGCGCACUCGCGCACGCGGGCAGGCCAGCCUUCGUGGUUGACGGUGGGCGGGAAGGGGGUAACCAAUUUCACCUUGGUGCGGCCGGCUUCCACGCUUUCAACCGUGGCGGGCUCGUAGGUGCCACC